AGAGUUUGAUCCUGGCUCAGGAUGAACGCUAGCUACAGGCUUAACACAUGCAAGUCGAGGGGCAGCAUGCUGGUAGCUUGCUACCAGUGAUGGCGACCGGCGCACGGGUGAGUAACGCGUAUCCAACCUUCCCAUGACCAGGGAAUAACCUUGCGAAAGUAAGACUAAUGCCCUAUGGUUUCCUCAGCGGACAUCCAAAGAGGAAUAAAGAUUCAUCGGUGAUGGAUGGGGAUGCGUCUGAUUAGGUUGUUGGCGGGGUAACGGCCCACCAAGCCAUCGAUCAGUAGGGGUUCUGAGAGGAAGGUCCCCCACAUUGGAACUGAGACACGGUCCAAACUCCUACGGGAGGCAGCAGUGAGGAAUAUUGGUCAAUGGGCGAGAGCCUGAACCAGCCAAGUAGCGUGCAGGACGACGGCCCUAUGGGUUGUAAACUGCUUUUAUACGGGAAUAAAGUGGGCCACGCGUGGCCUUUUGCAUGUACCGUAUGAAUAAGGACCGGCUAAUUCCGUGCCAGCAGCCGCGGUAAUACGGAAGGUCCGGGCGUUAUCCGGAUUUAUUGGGUUUAAAGGGAGCGUAGGCCGUCGCUU
rnacentral:rRNA from 1 species